AAAAACACGCAGACGAAUUCAAUGUCCCAGCCGUUUCGAAUUGAAGCUCUUGGCUCAUAAAAACGCAAUGGAGCGGAAUCUCAUAAACCUUCGCGCAUCAACAAAUCAUUCCAACCGAUCGGCUCAUCCCAGGGAAAGAGCUUUGACAGGCGCAUCUUCUAUCAUGAUGUAGGGCGAACCGAGGAUGCAUAAUUGGUCAAUUGCACAUCCCAACUUGCGGAGUUCAUUGGUCGCAUGUGGCUCCUCUGUGCUGGCUUCAUCAGCAGCUUCUAUUUAUGUCCAGCAAAACAAUGAAUGAUCAGAUAAAUGAAAGGUAUGAUGGAUGACGAUUGGAGGAGGAGUUAUCUGUAGUUAGUAAAGCCUCGAAUGAUAGCCAAAAUCAUGCAAUUCGACGGGGAUACAGGGCAUGCAUGUGAACAAAUACUGCUUUGCUUUAUGUUGGUGGAACAUCACCACUCCUUGCACUAUGGCUACAAGGUAACAAAUUGGUGUGACCCAUUGAUUUCUGAUGGUGGAAUUGCUUAUUCUCAACACAGGGAAAAAGCUUUGAUAGGUGCAUCUUCUAUCAUUAUGUAGAGUUCCUUGGAUGGAUGCAAUGAGGAGUGCCUACAAAAUCAGUGCCCAUCUCUGAAACAGGCUGUGGGGGAACUGGCCUGAAGCUGUGCGGUACUGUGUCGUAAAGAUCUAAGUCUAUGGAUAACGUUCCCAAUUCCCAACUAUCUUUCAAUCUUAUUUGGUGAUAACCUUCCUGACUCCCAACUAUAUUUUAAGCUUAUUUGGUGCUGUGAUUGUCCUUCUCCUACAUCAAGAAGCUAAAAAAGAAACUCCGGUUCAAUUAAAACAGGUGAAGAGAAAGAAAAGCAUCAUUACUAAGGUAGAUAUAAUAAGCCAAAAAUUCGGAAUCAUCACAUUUGAAAAUUUCAAUUUCAGUACACUAACUUCUUAGAGGUAUUUAUAGAUUCCCUUUUUUCUUCUCCAAAAUACCCCUAAAAUUUAUAAAUGAUGGAGCUCUUUGUUUUUUGUCCAUCUUUGUACUCGAAAAGCACCUGCAUAUUGUUUGUUUCACAACACCAGUGGCAUGAGCCACAAUGAAUAACACUUCAGAUGUUUUUUGGUGAUCUUUGAGUAUACUUAGAAUUUCUUCUUCUUA